rnacentral:rRNA from 1 species
UACAGAGGUCUCAAGCGUUUGUUCGGAUUCAUUGGGCGUAAAGGGUGUGUAGGUGGCGCCGUAAGUCGGGUGUGAAAUCUCGGAGCUUAACUCCGAAACUGCAUUCGAUACUGCCGGUGCUUGAGGACUGGAGAGGAGACUGGAAUUUACGGUGUAGCGGUGAAAUGCGUAGAUAUCGUAAGGAAGACCAGUGGCGAAGGCGGGUCUCUGGACAGUUCC